UGUAGAGAUUACAGAGGCAGAGGACUGUGCCCUGGCAAGACGUGGGAAGAGCAAUGAUGGACAUCAUAGAAGGAUACUAGGCACCUGAAGACAGAAGACAAUCUGGGCAGCAACCGCCUUAGUCAGCCAUCGGAGAGGGACAUGGACACCAGAGCGUGGUAAGUAGAGGCAGAAUGUCUUGCUGUCUCUUUUCAACAGCUGUGUGUAGUGAAGUAUGGUGGAUAGGGCAGCCCUGACAGAGAAGCUGCUGGAUCCCAGGAGUCCUGGGGAACAGUGGACAGGAUUCUGAGAGGUGAGGUCACAAGGAUGCUAAGAGGGUAAAGAGGAGCGCUAAGAACUAGGUGUAACCCAGAAUGACAGGCAUGGAUACUGUCACUCAUGCGGCUGUCCUAAGAGUGGAUGUGGACUGGUUCCCAGAGCCUGACAAUGGCCUCGGAGGAAUGAGAGUGAGAGAGAGGACAGCUAGACUGGAAGUUCACAUUCAGGUGCCUCAGAACAGCUGGGUAGUCCAUGGCGUGAAGAACUAGAGGAGGAGCAGUUAAGACUCCAGAACAACAAAAUGAGAGCACAGAGGGAGGCUGAGAUGUAGACA
rnacentral:lncRNA from 1 species